rnacentral:pre_miRNA from 1 species
UCACUAACACUGGACAGUUAUGAAGAGGCAGGUGUUCUGGUAACCCCUGUUUCUUCUGUUCCAGUGGUGUUUC